CCUGUGUUACAUAUAUGAAGAUCAGUAUCAGUUCAAGUGGAAAUUAAGUAAAAGAUAUACCAGUACAUCUUCAACAAGUUUUGACCAGAAUCCGAGUUCAAAAAUCAGUUGCUAUGGCUGCAGAAAAAAGUCCAAUUAAAGUUCCAUGUGAAAAUGUAGACUUGCCCGAAAAAGAAAAUGCAGUAGGGGACGACACUUAACAAGCCAGAGCUGAUGUUUAUAGGAAUCAAGGUAAUGAGGCCUUCAAGAAAGGAGAUUUCCUCAAUGCCAUUCACUUUUACACAGAAGGAAUUGAAGUGAAUUGUAAUGAGAAAGAACUGAAGGCUAAACUGUACAACAACAGGGCAACUGCA